CAUGUCUUUUUGAUUAUAAUUUAAGGUUUAAUCUGCUCAAUGAGGAUUUAAAUUGCCGCGGUAUUUUGACCGUGCAAAGGUAGCAUAAUAAUUAGUUUCUUUAUUGGAAGCUGGAAUGAAUGAUUGGACGAGAAAAUUACUGUCUCUUAAUAAUUUAUUUUUGAAUUUAAUUUUUAAGUUAAAAAGCUUAAAUUUUUUUUAAAGACGAGAAGACCCUAUAGAGUUUAAUAAGUUAAUUUUUUUUAUUUUUUUGGUAUUCUUUAAUUAAUAAAUUUGUGCUUAUUUGGUUGGGGUGACUAAAAGAUUAAUAAAACUCUUUUAAGUUUAUAAUCAUUGAUUUUUGAAUGAUGAGCCUGAUUUUUUCAAGUUUAAUACAAAUUACCUUAGGGAUAACAGCGUAAUUUCUUUUUAGAGUUCUUAUUGAAAUGGAAGUUUGCGACCUCGAUGUUGGAUUAAAAUUUAUUUAUGGUGCAGAAGCUUUAAUAUUAAGUCUGUUCGACUUUUAAAAUUUUACAUGAUCUGAGU
rnacentral:rRNA from 1 species